GAAGUCUGACGGAGCACGCCGCGUGAGUGAUGAAGGUUUUCGGAUCGUAAAACUCUGUUGUUAGGGAAGAACAAGUACCGUUCGAAUAGGGCGGUACCUUGACGGUACCUAACCAGAAAGCCACGGCUAACUACGUGCCAGCAGCCGCGGUAAUA
rnacentral:rRNA from 1 species